GUAUAGAUUUCAUAGGCAUAUACAUUCUAUCGACAUACAUUGGGGUAAAUGAAACGACAUAGACCUGAAAAGGUCUACAAAAGGUGCACAGGUGGAGAUAUAAAAAUGACAAGGCGUGCACAUGCUCCCUAGAGAACCAGCAACAACCCAUCAGGUUUAUUUCAAUAAUGAUCCUUCCGCAGGUUCACCUACGGAAA
rnacentral:misc_RNA from 1 species